rnacentral:rRNA from 1 species
UGCAGUCGAACGAUGAUCUGGUGCUUGCACUGGGGAUUAGUGGCGAACGGGUGAGUAACACGUGAGUAACCUGCCCUUGACUCUGGGAUAAGCCUGGGAAACUGGGUCUAAUACCGGAUAUGACUCCUCAUCGCAUGGUGGGGGGUGGAAAGCUUUUGUGGUUUUGGAUGGACUCGCGGCCUAUCAGCUUGUUGGUGGGGUAAUGGCCUACCAAGGCGACGACGGGUAGCCGGCCUGAGAGGGUGACCGGCCACACUGGGACUGAGACACGGCCCAGACUCCUACGGGAGGCAGCAGUGGGGAAUAUUGCACAAUGGGCGGAAGCCUGAUGCAGCGACGCCGCGUGAGGGAUGACGGCCUUCGGGUUGUAAACCUCUUUCAGUAGGGAAGAAGCGUAAGUGACGGUACCUGCAGAAGAAGCGCCGGCUAACUACGUGCCAGCAGCCGCGGUAAUACGUAGGGCGCAAGCGUUAUCCGGAAUUAUUGGGCGUAAAGAGCUCGUAGGCGGUUUGUCGCGUCUGCUGUGAAAGACCGGGGCUCAACUCCGGUUCUGCAGUGGGUACGGGCAGACUAGAGUGCAGUAGGGGAGACUGGAAUUCCUGGUGUAGCGGUGAAAUGCGCAGAUAUCAGGAGGAACACCGAUGGCGAAGGCAGGUCUCUGGGCUGUAACUGACGCUGAGGAGCGAAAGCAUGGGGAGCGAACAGGAUUAGAUACCCUGGUAGUCCAUGCCGUAAACGUUGGGCACUAGGUGUGGGGGACAUUCCACGUUUUCCGCGCCGUAGCUAACGCAUUAAGUGCCCCGCCUGGGGAGUACGGCCGCAAGGCUAAAACUCAAAGGAAUUGACGGGGGCCCGCACAAGCGGCGGAGCAUGCGGAUUAAUUCGAUGCAACGCGAAGAACCUUACCAAGGCUUGACAUGGACUGGAUCGCUGCAGAAAUGUGGUUUCCCCUUUUGGGGCUGGUUCACAGGUGGUGCAUGGUUGUCGUCAGCUCGUGUCGUGAGAUGUUGGGUUAAGUCCCGCAACGAGCGCAACCCUCGUUCUAUGUUGCCAGCGCGUUAUGGCGGGGACUCAUAGGAGACUGCCGGGGUCAACUCGGAGGAAGGUGGGGACGACGUCAAAUCAUCAUGCCCCUUAUGUCUUGGGCUUCACGCAUGCUACAAUGGCCGGUACAAAGGGUUGCGAUACUGUGAGGUGGAGCUAAUCCCAAAAAGCCGGUCUCAGUUCGGAUUGGGGUCUNCAACUCGACCCCANGAAGUNGGAGUCGCUAGUAAUCNCAGAUCNNC